rnacentral:rRNA from 1 species
UACGUUCCCGGGCUUGUACACACCGCCCGUCACGUCACGAAAGUCGGUAACGCCCGAAGCCGGUGGCCCAACCCUUGUGGAGGGAGCCGUCGAAGGUGGGACUGGCGAUUAGGACU